rnacentral:rRNA from 1 species
GACGAACGCUGGCGGCGUGCCUAAUACAUGCAAGUUGAGCGCUGAAGGUUGGUACUUGUACCAACUGGAUGAGCAGCGAACGGGUGAGUAACGCGUGGGGAAUCUGCCUUUGAGCGGGGGACAACAUUUGGAAACGAAUGCUAAUACCGCAUAAAAACUUUAAACACAAGUUUUAAGUUUGAAAGAUCCAAUUGCAUCACUCAAAGAUGAUCCCGCGUUGUAUUAGCUAGUUGGUGAGGUAAAGGCUCACCAAGGCGAUGAUACAUAGCCGACCUGAGAGGGUGUUCGGCCACAUUGGGACUGAGACACGGCCCAAACUCCUACGGGAGGCAGCAGUAGGGAAUCUUCGGCAAUGGACGAAAGUCUGACCGAGCAACGCCGCGUGAGUGAAGAAGGUUUUCGGAUCGUAAAACUCUGUUGGUAGAGAAGAACGUUGGUGAGAGUGGAAAGCUCAUCAAGUGACGGUAACUACCCAGAAAGGGACGGCUAACUACGUG